rnacentral:rRNA from 1 species
ACGCUGGCGGCGUGCCUAAUACAUGCAAGUCGAACGGACAAGUAAGAGCUUGCUCUUAUGAGUUAGUGGCGCACGGGUGAGUAAUGUAUAGCUAAUCUGCCCUACACUAGAGGACAACAGUUGGAAACGACUGCUAAUACUCUAUACUCCUAUCUGACAUAAGUUAGAUAGGGAAAGUUUUUCGGUGUAGGAUGAGGCUAUAUUGUAUCAGCUAGUUGGUGAGGUAAUGGCUCACCAAGGCUAUGACGCAUAACUGGUCUGAGAGGAUGAUCAGUCACACUGGAACUGAGACACGGUCCAGACUCCUACGGGAGGCAGCAGUAGGGAAUAUUGCUCAAUGGGGGAAACCCUGAAGCAGCAACGCCGCGUGGAGGAUGACACUUUUCGGAGCGUAAACUCCUUUUGUUAGGGAAGAACAAUGACGGUACCUAACGAAUAAGCACCGGCUAACUCCGUGCCAGCAGCCGCGGUAAUACGGAGGGUGCAAGCGUUACUCGGAAUCACUGGGCGUAAAGGACGCGUAGGCGGAUUAUCAAGUCUCUUGUGAAAUCCUAUGGCUUAACCAUAGAACUGCUUGGGAAACUGAUAAUCUAGAGUGAGGGAGAGGCAGAUGGAAUUGGUGGUGUAGGGGUAAAAUCCGUAGAGAUCACCAGGAAUACCCAUUGCGAAGGCGAUCUGCUGGAACUCAACUGACGCUAAUGCGUGAAAGCGUGGGGAGCAAACAGGAUUAGAUACCCUGGUAGUCCACGCCCUAAACGAUGUAUACUAGUUGUUGCUAAGCUAGUCUUGGCAGUAAUGCACCUAACGGAUUAAGUAUACCGCCUGGGGAGUACGGUCGCAAGAUUAAAACUCAAAGGAAUAGACGGGGACCCGCACAAGCGGUGGAGCAUGUGGUUUAAUUCGAAGAUACGCGAAGA